rnacentral:rRNA from 1 species
UACGUAGGGCGCGAGCGUUGUCCGGAUUUAUUGGGCGUAAAGAGCUCGUAGGCGGCUUGGCAAGUCGGGUGUGAAAACUCCAGGCUCAACCUGGAGACGCCACCCGAUACUGCCAUGGCUAGAGUCCGGUAGGGGACCACGGAAUUCCUGGUGUAGCGGUGAAAUGCGCAGAUAUCAGGAGGAACACCGGUGGCGAAGGCGGUGGUCUGGGCCGGAACUGACGCUGAGGAGCGAAAGCGUGGGGAGCGAACGGG